rnacentral:rRNA from 1 species
UACGAAGGGGGCUAGCGUUGCUCGGAAUCACUGGGCGUAAAGGGUGCGUAGGCGGGUCUUUAAGUCAGGGGUGAAAUCCUGGAGCUCAACUCCAGAACUGCCCUUGAUACUGAGGAUCUUGAGUUCGGGAGAGGUGAGUGGAACUGCGAGUGUAGAGGUGAAAUUCGUAGAUAUUCGCAAGAACACCAGUGGCGAAGGCGGCUCACUGGCACGAUACUGACGCUGAGGCACGAAAGCGUGGGGAGCAAACAGG